AUCCAGCUGACGAGUCCCAAAUAGGACUAAACGCGCGUCAAACUGGAU
rfam:Schistosoma mansoni strain Puerto Rico chromosome W, complete genome